GUGAAUCAUCGAAUUUUUGAACGCAAAUUGCACUCUCUUCGGAGAGUAUGCCUGUUUGAGGGUCAGCCUAAAAAAAUCGACGGAGUCGCUGGUUCGCGGUUGCAUUCGGCGGAAAUUUGGGCAUCUUAAACCUUUGGGGUUUUUAAGCGGCUUAAAAUUUUCUUUACGAUUCCACGAACGUUUCUAAGAUUUUACUUCUUACACACGGUUAAGGUAUCGAUCUUUAUUAGACGUGGCCGUUGCAUCGGAUCGCGUCCAUAAAUAUUUCGUUAACUUAACUUAU
rnacentral:misc_RNA from 1 species